rnacentral:rRNA from 1 species
GACGAACGCUGGCGGCGUGCUUAACACAUGCAAGUCGAACGGAAAGGCCCUGCUUUUGUGGGGUGCUCGAGUGGCGAACGGGUGAGUAACACGUGAGUAACCUGCCCUUGACUUUGGGAUAACUUCAGGAAACUGGGGCUAAUACCGGAUAGGAGCUCGUGCUGCAUGGUGGGGGUUGGAAAGUUUCGGCGGUUGGGGAUGGACUCGCGGCUUAUCAGCUUGUUGGUGGGGUAGUGGCUUACCAAGGCUUUGACGGGUAGCCGGCCUGAGAGGGUGACCGGCCACAUUGGGACUGAGAUACGGCCCAGACUCCUACGGGAGGCAGCAGUGGGGAAUAUUGCACAAUGGGCGGAAGCCUGAUGCAGCAACGCCGCGUGCGGGAUGACGGCCUUCGGGUUGUAAACCGCUUUCGCCUGUGACGAAGCGUGAGUGUCGGUAAUGGGUAAAGAAGCACCGGCUAACUACGUG